AGUAACGCGUGAGGAACCUGCCUCAAAGAGGGGGACAACAGUUGGAAACGACUGCUAAUACCGCAUAAGCCCACGGCUCGGCAUCGAGCAGAGGGAAAAGGAGCAAUCCGCUUUGAGAUGGCCUCGCGUCCGAUUAGCUGUUGGUGAGGUAAUGGCCCACCAAGGCGACGAUCGGUAGCCGGACUGAGAGGUUGAACGGCCACAUUGGGACUGAGACACGGCCCAG
rnacentral:rRNA from 1 species